AAGUCGUAACAAGGUUUCCGUAGGUGAACCUGCGGAAGGAUCAUUAACACAAAUACAUCCAUAUACAAACUCAACGGCAAUCUUCCCUCUCCCUGUUCAAUUGACACUGUCAAAUUGGACAGGCUAUCUGCUCCGUCUAUAAAUAUAUCGGGCCGAGCCUCUUUUUAAUUUUAAACCCCAAUCAUGUUGACGCUUUGUGUGCUGUUCUUUUUGUUCAGUGCUUGAAAAGCGACGUUGUCGAUCGUUCUGUUUCACUUUCACUACAUUUAUCUGUAGUGGGUGUCAGUUCAAUCAACUACAUAUUCACAAUAAGAAACAACUCUUAACAAUGGAUAUCUAGGUUCUC
rnacentral:misc_RNA from 1 species